UUAAUUUGAUCUAACCCAUAGGUAUAAAAACAUAUUUUACAAAAUACAAAAGCUGUUCUAGGAUAAUAAGGACGAUUUAAGUGACUGCUAAAGAUAAUUUAAUGUAUAUUUGUAAGCAACGAUUAACCAUUGCUAUUGAAAAAACAAUUCUGAGCAGAAUUUGGUUGAUAGUGUUACUUUGUCAACAAUUUACAUGUUAUAUUAUG